UCAGAAUUUAAAUACUUUAUUUUAAUUUUCUCAUGGCCGCUGGUACGUCUUCUUCGCAGAAGUGUGCUUCAACCUUAGACCUGUGGAAUGCUUACGCAAACAUUCUCAAGCUUUUAGGAGGAAGGCAUCAAUGCCGAGUGUCGACAAAAAAGCGCAGCCGACAUAUAGUUACUUCCAAACAGAAUAUCAACCUCUGAGUUGGUGUUGAACAUUAAAUCUGCUAGCGGAAGAUCAUUCUUGAUCUUUAAUGCUGUGGGACUCUGUGCUGAAGCCCCUUGUCGUUUCAGCCCUAACCGAUGAUAUUUCGGAGACGAGUAUUUAAGCGCAUAGUGUCCAGUGUCUAAAAGCACCCGAAAAGUUGUAUAUCCUUUGCAUUGAGUACAUAUACCAACGCAGUGAGCAGCGUUCCUUUCAUCAGCCAGGUGUGAGUUCAGAAAGAACACACAUAUAUUAAUAUCAUAGAGAUAAGAGCCUGUCUAUGUUUAGGUACUAAAAUUGUAACUACACCAAAUUGUUGCUUCUGGCCUGCAGAUGUCCUGCAACUAGGUACCUAGAACGCUUGGUGGGUAAUAUGACCUCCUGCGAGUGGUCACCACAUGUUUAAAGAUAAGUGCGAUCGAAGGUUUCCUGCGGUCGGGAAUAUACCGAUCCGUGGAUCUAGAGAUAAGGAUUUUCAAUUCUCAUGUUAGCUACCUAAGCUAGGAUUUUAAGAAAUAAAAUCAGUUUGAAAAACCAACUCAACAGAGUUAGAAGCUUGUUUCAUUUACAGCCUCUUUAACAUAUGUAUAUUUGGGUGUAUAAGUACAAUGUGUAAUACUUAAAGCUCAAACUCUCUUUGAAAAUAAGAUAGGGGUGAGUCAAAGGUGAAGGUAACGUUACGUUUGGUUGGCUGUACAGUUUUUGCACUUGUGGACAUUUUUGAUGUGGUUAUUAAGGGGUUAUACACCUUUUAAAAAAAAAAAAAAAAACGACAAAUUUUUUUUUAUUGAAUACUAAAGUAUACCCCCUAGAGAACAUUUUCCCAAAUUUUAAUAGAGAUCCGAAUAAUAGUUCGAUAGGAAAACAGCGUUUUGUCUGCUCGACUUCAAUAGUUGCAUAUACUCAACGUAAAACUUUAAAUGCGAUUAUGUCAAAGUCGUGUUUUUCCAAAAGUGUCUUUGCUGUGACCGCGAUUGCACAAGAACUAUUUGAUCGAUCUUCUUCAAUUUUUUUUUUAUUAUUCGUAAUGAUUGUGCCGAGUUCGUGAACGAUUCGGUUUUUAUGCGCCAAUUUUGAUUUUGCAGAUCAGAAUUUUUUAAUAAAAUUUUUAGAACUCGAAAAAUCAACUUUUUGGAAAAAUUGUUACUGUAUGCAGAAAAAACCAAAUAUUCUUGAAAAUAAUCGUUCACGAACUGGAAAUAAUACUACACUAAUAAAUUUUUUUUUGGUUUUUUGAUUUCAAUUGACCUGCUGGACUUCCAUCGUGGUCACCGCAAGCCGCUAUAAAAAAAAUAAGGUUCCGAGAGAAUUGCCAUAACUUCGUAAAUUAUUUAUAUUUUUUCAAAAACAAAA